UACGGAGGGUGCAAGCGUUGUUCGGAAUUACUGGGCGUAAAGCGCGUGUAGGCGGGUCUUUAAGUCAGGGGGGAAAUGCCAAGGCUCAACCUUGGAACUGCCUUUGAUACUGGAGACCUUGAGUCCGGGAGAGGUGAGUGGAAUUGCGAGUGUAGAGGUGAAAUUCGUAGAUAUUCGCAAGAACACCAGUGGCGAAGGCGGCUCACUGGCCCGGAACUGACGCUGAGAUGCGAAAGCGUGGGGAGCAAACAGG
rnacentral:rRNA from 1 species